GGGUUGUGAGGUUAAGCGACUAAGCGUACACGGUGGAUGCCCUGGCAGUCAGAGGCGAUGAAGGACGUGCUAAUCUGCGAAAAGCGCCGGCGAGGUGAUAUGAACCCUUGACCCGGCGAUGUCCGAAUGGGGAAACCCAGUGUGAUUCGUCACACUAUCGUUAGCUGAAUACAUAGGCUAACGAGGCGAACCGGGGGAACUGAAACAUCUAAGUACCCCGAGGAAAAGAAAUCAACCGAGAUUCCCCCAGUAGCGGCGAGCGAACGGGGAGCAGCCCGGAGUCUGAAUCAGCUUGUGUGUUAGUGGAAGCGUCUGGAAAGUCGCAGGGUACAGGGUGAUACUCCCGUACACGAAAGCACACAUGCUGUGAACUCGAAGAGUAGGGCGGGACACGUGGUAUCCUGUCUGAAUAUGGGGGGACCAUCCUCCAAGGCUAAAUACUCCUGACUGACCGAUAGUGAACCAGUACCGUGAGGGAAAGGCGAAAAGAACCCCGGCGAGGGGAGUGAAAAAGAACCUGAAACCGUGUACGUACAAGCAGUGGGAGCACCUUCGGGUGUGACUGCGUACCUUUUGUAUAAUGGGUCAGCGACUUAUAUUCUGUAGCAAGGUUAACCGUAUAGGGGAGCCGGAGGGAAACCGAGUCUUAACUGGGCGUUAAGUUGCAGGGUAUAGACCCGAAACCCGGUGAUCUAGCCAUGGGCAGGUUGAAGGUUGGGUAACACUAACUGGAGGACCGAACCGACUAAUGUUGAAAAAUUAGCGGAUGACCUGUGGCUGGGGGUGAAAGGCCAAUCAAACCGGGAGAUAGCUGGUUCUCCCCGAAAGCUAUUUAGGUAGCGCCUCGUGAAUUCAUCCUCGGGGGUAGAGCACUGUUUCGGCUAGGGGGCCAUCCCGGCUUACCAACCCGAUGCAAACUGCGAAUACCGAGGAAUGUUAUCACGGGAGACACACGGCGGGUGCUAACGUCCGUCGUGAAGAGGGAAACAACCCAGACCGCCAGCUAAGGUCCCAAAGUCAUGGUUAAGUGGGAAACGAUGUGGGAAGGCACAGACAGCCAGGAUGUUGGCUUAGAAGCAGCCAUCAUUUAAAGAAAGCGUAAUAGCUCACUGGUCGAGUCGGCCUGCGCGGAAGAUGUAACGGGGCUAAACCAUGCACCGAAGCUGCGGCAGCGACACUAUGUGUUGUUGGGUAGGGGAGCGUUCUGUAAGCCUGCGAAGGUGUGCUGUGAGGCAUGCUGGAGGUAUCAGAAGUGCGAAUGCUGACAUAAGUAACGAUAAAGCGGGUGAAAAGCCCGCUCGCCGGAAGACCAAGGGUUCCUGUCCAACGUUAAUCGGGGCAGGGUGAGUCGACCCCUAAGGCGAGGCCGAAAGGCGUAGUCGAUGGGAAACAGGUUAAUAUUCCUGUACUCGGUGUUACUGCGAAGGGGGGACGGAGAAGGCUAUGUUGGCCGGGCGACGGUUGUCCCGGUUUAAGCAUGUAGGCGGAGGUUCCAGGUAAAUCCGGUACCUUUUAACGCUGAGGUGUGAUGACGAGGCACUACGGUGCUGAAGCAACAAAUGCCCUGCUUCCAGGAAAAGCCUCUAAGCAUCAGGUAACAUCAAAUCGUACCCCAAACCGACACAGGUGGUCAGGUAGAGAAUACCAAGGCGCUUGAGAGAACUCGGGUGAAGGAACUAGGCAAAAUGGUGCCGUAACUUCGGGAGAAGGCACGCUGAUAUGUAGGUGAAGCCCCUGCGGGUGGAGCUGAAAUCAGUCGAAGAUACCAGCUGGCUGCAACUGUUUAUUAAAAACACAGCACUGUGCAAACACGAAAGUGGACGUAUACGGUGUGACGCCUGCCCGGUGCCGGAAGGUUAAUUGAUGGGGUUAGCUGUAAGGCGAAGCUCUUGAUCGAAGCCCCGGUAAACGGCGGCCGUAACUAUAACGGUCCUAAGGUAGCGAAAUUCCUUGUCGGGUAAGUUCCGACCUGCACGAAUGGCGUAAUGAUGGCCAGGCUGUCUCCACCCGAGACUCAGUGAAAUUGAAAUCGCUGUGAAGAUGCAGUGUACCCGCGGCAAGACGGAAAGACCCCGUGAACCUUUACUAUAGCUUGACACUGAACACUGGUCCUUGAUGUGUAGGAUAGGUGGGAGGCUUUGAAGUGUGGACGCCAGUCUGCAUGGAGCCGUCCUUGAAAUACCACCCUUUAAUGGCUGGUGUUCUAACGUGGACCCGUUACCCGGGUUGCGGACAGUGUCUGGUGGGUAGUUUGACUGGGGCGGUCUCCUCCUAAAGAGUAACGGAGGAGCACGAAGGUCAGCUAAUCCUGGUCGGACAUCAGGAGGUUAGUGCAAUGGCAUAAGCUGGCUUGACUGCGAGAGUGACGGCUCGAGCAGGUGCGAAAGCAGGUCAUAGUGAUCCGGUGGUUCUGUAUGGAAGGGCCAUCGCUCAACGGAUAAAAGGUACUCCGGGGAUAACAGGCUGAUACCGCCCAAGAGUUCAUAUCGACGGCGGUGUUUGGCACCUCGAUGUCGGCUCAUCACAUCCUGGGGCUGAAGUAGGUCCCAAGGGUAUGGCUGUUCGCCAUUUAAAGUGGUACGCGAGCUGGGUUUAGAACGUCGUGAGACAGUUCGGUCCCUAUCUGCCGUGGGCGCUGGAGAAUUGAGGGGGGCUGCUCCUAGUACGAGAGGACCGGAGUGGACGCAUCACUGGUGUUCGGGUUGUCAUGCCAAUGGCACUGCCCGGUAGCUAAAUGCGGAAGAGAUAAGUGCUGAAAGCAUCUAAGCACGAAACUUGCCCCGAGAUGAGUUCUCCCUGACCCUUUAAGGGUCCUGAAGGAACGUUGAAGACGACGACGUUGAUAGGCCGGGUGUGUAAGCGCAGCGAUGCGUUGAGCUAACCGGUACUAAUGAACCGUGAGGCUUAACCUUACAACGCCGAAGCUGUU
rnacentral:rRNA from 1 species